rnacentral:tRNA from 1 species
UCCCUGGUGGCCUAGUGGUUAAGGAUCCAGCAUUGCCACUGCUGUGGCCCAGGUUCAAUCUCUGGCCUUGGAA